rnacentral:rRNA from 1 species
GUAGGUGGCAAGCGUUGUCCGGAAUUAUUGGGCGUAAAGCGCGCGCAGGCGGAUCUUUAAGUCUGAUGUGAAAGCCCACGGCUCAACCGUGGAGGGUCAUUGGAAACUGGAGAACUUGAGUACAGAAGAGGAAAGCGGAAUUCCACGUGUAGCGGUGAAAUGCGUAGAGAUGUGGAGGAACACCAGUGGCGAAGGCGGCUUUCUGGUCUGUAACUGACGCUGAGGCGCGAAAGCGUGGGGGAGCAAACAGGAUUAGAUACCCUGGUGGUCCACGCCGUAAACGAUGAGUGCUAAGUGUUAGGGGGUUUCCGCCCCUUAGUGCUGCAGCUAACGCAUUAAGCACUCCGCCUGGGAGUACGGCCGCAAGGCUG